AAGGCCUUUGGGUUGUAAACCUCUUUUCUCAGGGAAGAAGAUCUGACGGUACCUGAGGAAUAAGCAUCGGCUAACUCCGUGCCAGCAGCCGCGGUAAUACGGAGGAUGCAAGCGUUCACCGGAAUUAUUGGGCGUAAAGCGUCCGCAGGUGGUCUUUCAAGUCUGCUGUCAAAGACCAGAGCUUAACUCUGGGCAGGCGGUGGAAACUGAGAGACUAGAGUUCGGUAGGGGUAGCGGGAAUUCCCAGUGUAGCGGUGAAAUGCGUAGAUAUUGGGAAGAACAUCGGUGGCGAAGGCGUGCUACUGGACCGAAACUGACACUC
rnacentral:rRNA from 1 species